GUGUAUGUGGUGAAGACUGACAAAGCACACAAAAAGGAGUGCGCAAUGUACCGAAAUAUACUACAGAAGGACGAACUGUAUGUGGCAUAGCUAGUGUUUUGUUCCAGUUCACUCUAUUUGUUGCCAAAUCGAGCGAAGGUGGAAGCACUGUCGCUGUGCUAGUGUGGAUACGUGGUCGGCAGCUCGCAUUGAAAUGUGCACGGCAGCACUCCGCUACGAGUGAUUCAGGCCUAUUGUUCGCCAAUCAAACCAACUGAAUGCAGUAAAGCGGUAAUAAACUGCCCCCCAAUGCAACGUUUUUGCACGAAUGACACGGAAUGUUCUUUUUUUUCAUGCAUGCCUAGUUUUGUUUUUGCGAUCGGGCCCACGACGGCCACAUCGAGCGGUUAAAGACAACCGCUAAUAGCAUUCAAAUUCGUACAAUACAAAAAAAAAAAAAAAAAUGAAAGCCGAUUCAUGUCGGUGAAGAAGGCACACGGCCGGAAAAGCACCCUUUAUGGCAUUUUUGGACAACGCACCACAACUGUGAACUUGUCGCCAAUGGAACAUCAUGAUGGCCACCAAUUGAACCCAUUUUCAUUCGUGGACCACCAUAAGGCCCCUAUGCUUCACUUCAUACUCAACAGGCACGGCUACGGAAGCUAUAAAAUGAACCUGCCAGCAUCAACAAUUUCAUAGACUACUAGUCACCGCGAACAUCGGAGCUCCGACGCCGUAGCAGAAAUACUGCUCGCGGAAGUGCUUGCUGCACGCUCCAGUUGCAGCCGAUGGCUGCUUACCAGUUCUAAGUUUCGGGACAGUUAUGCAAAAUACAUGUGAUAAAUUUUAAGUCCUUUGAAAUGGUGGAACUUCCAUAGGUGCGUCGUUAGAACUCGUUUGCAGGCUGUACAGAACAGAACAUCCUUUGUAAGGGUAACUACUGUCACACGCGUCUGUAUCCUUGCCAAAACCUAAAUUAUUACUGGAUAACUGGUGUCUUAACCUCAACAGGUGAUGUGCACGCAGAGGUAAGUCAGCUUAGAGGUGAAACUAAAUGGAAAGAAGUGUGUUUUAAAUGCACAGAGUACUGUGUGCCGUCGCGAACAAACCACAGUAUGCCCCCGCGCCUUGGUUCGCAGUGCAAUGUCUCGCGUAAUGCAGGGUGUUCUUUUUAGCUGCACUCAAUUAAAAAAAAAAAGUUCCUGUGGGAGAUAGCACAAUCACAGUCCUUGAUCUCCAUUACUUGAUGAGGCGGCAUUACUUCUACAAGAGAUAAAAACGCUUAAUUGAACAAUUAACAUAACUACACAAGCUAACACUUUUAAUUAAUCACAUAACAGAACAUAUUUCCAUUUACGAAUUGAAUGUAGUGAGUAUGCAAGACAUAUCUACUUGGAACGAAUUCUUAUUUCGAGGUAUUAAUUUUCAGUGUCCGACGAAAUGCAUUUGCGUUCCAGUUACUUUUGUACUUCAAUGCAAACAAUAGUUUUUUUUUUUUUUUAUGUGGCACAGUGCAUUUUUACCGCAAGUUUGGCGGCGAAUAUUUGGAAAACGGCACCAUCCUCAGAAUUCGUUCCAAGUCCAUAUGCCUUUCAUACUCACUAGCUACAAUUCGUAGAUUGAAAUUUGUCACCUGGCUCCACGCACCAUCUUCCUCAGGGCGUGAGCAUGAACAGGGCAGGCGUACAUACGUUACUCCUAUCCGACAGUAAUUUUACAAGUUAUUUUCUUAUAUUUAAUUUUUUUGUGGCUCGGGUAUCGACACGGUAUGCGUGCAUACGUUCGUUACGCAAUCGCCGACCCAGACAAUAAGUGCAGUUAGUUGCUUCAAAUCACUUUCGAGGCCGCUGGCGUCGCGGCUCGUGGUCACGUGCCGCCACACUUAGUAUUCCGCGCGCUGCAAGUAAAGCUAGCGAAGAGGAACUCCGCAGGAUAUAGCGUACACGAAAACGAUUAAGUUCUAUCCCAAUCAAUUUUCUUUUCGCCUUCGUCGUCAUCCCGCUUACUCUCCUCCCUAUCCGCCCCUCCCCCUCGCAAGAACAUAAAGGCUGCGAAAUUAUACUCAGCCCGCCUUAGUGAUAUUGACCUCUCCU